rnacentral:rRNA from 1 species
CAGUCGCCGCGGUAAUACGUAGGGUGCAAGCGUUAAUCGGAAUUACUGGGCGUAAAGCGUGCGCAGGCGGUUUGUUAAGACAGAUGUGAAAUCCCCGGGCUCAACCUGGGAACUGCAUUUGUGACUGGCAGGCUAGAGUAUGGCAGAGGGGGGUGGAAUUCCGCGUGUAGCAGUGAAAUGCGUAGAGAUCGGGAGGAACAUCAGUGGCGAAGGCGGCCAUCUGGGACAACACUGACGCUGAGGCACGAAAGCGUGGGGAGCAAACAGGAUUAGAUACCCCCGUAGUCCCUGUCUCUUAUAC